UACGAAGGGAGCUAGCGUUGUUCGGAAUCACUGGGCGUAAAGCGCACGUAGGCGGAUUUGUCAGUCAGGGGUGAAAUCCCGGGGCUCAACCUCGGAACUGCCUCUGAUACAGCAAGUCUUGAGUCCGGAAGAGGUGGGUGGAAUUCCUAGUGUAGAGGUGAAAUUCGUAGAUAUUAGGAAGAACACCGGUGGCGAAGGCGGCCCACUGGUCCGGUACUGACGCUGAGGUGCGAAAGCGUGGGGAGCGAACAGG
rnacentral:rRNA from 1 species